CACGUAGGGCGCAAGCGUUGUCCGGAAUUAUUGGGCGUAAAGAGCUCGUAGGUGGUUUGUUACGGUCCGCUGUGAAAUCCUAGGGCUUAACCCUGGGCUUGCAGUGGAUACGGGCAGACUAGAGGUAGGUAGGGGAGAAUGGAAUUCCUGGUGUAGCGGUGAAAUGCGCAGAUAUCAGGAGGAACACCGGUGGCGAAGGCGGUUCUCUGGGCCUUACCUGACACUGAGGAGCGAAGCGUGGGGAGCGAACAGG
rnacentral:rRNA from 1 species